rnacentral:rRNA from 1 species
UGGGGAAUAUUGCACAAUGGGCGAAAGCCUGAUGCAGCAACGCCGCGUGAGUGAAGAAGGUUUUCGGAUUGUAAAGCUCUGUCAUCUGGGACGAUAAUGACGGUACCAGAUGAGGAAGCCACGGCUAACUACGUGCCAGCAGCCGCGGUAAUACGUAGGUGGCAAGCGUUGUCCGGAAUUACUGGGCGUAAAGGGUGCGCAGGCGGACAUUUAAGUGAGAUGUGAAAGACCCGGGCUUAACUUGGGCAGUGCAUUUCAAACUGGAUGUCUGGAGUGCAGGAGAGGAGAACGGAAUUCCUAGUGUAGCGGUGAAAUGCGUAGAGAUUAGGAAGAACACCAGUGGCGAAGGCGGUUCUCUGGACUGUAACUGACGCUGAGGCACGAAAGCGUGGGUAGCAAACAGGAUUAGAUACCCUGGUAGUCCACGCCGUAAACGAUGAGUACUAGGUGUAGGAUGCGUC